rnacentral:misc_RNA from 1 species
GCAUUCCAUAACACCAUGUUUAGCAAAGGAGGAGAAUAUAAGAGUGGAAAAUAAUAGAAAUUGAUUUGCCUUGUUGGGAGAAAAGGAGGAAAAAUAAGGAGGAAAAGAAAGUGAGUAGAAACUAACUUAAAUUCCCCCCCUGGGCCCACCAAAUCUAAUCUCUCAAAUUGGACAGAGUGUAAAGAAAAUUUAAAAUUUUACUUAUUUAUCGUUCAUUUAAAACUUAUUUUACAAAACAUUAUGGUCAAUAUUGUAAUUUUAAUAAUUUUCUUUCCUAGUUUUCCUCCUUAUAUUUUCUUUCGAUCCAAACAAAACGGAGAAAAUAACUUUCUCUUUAUUUUCUCCCCACUCAUAUUUUGCUCCUUAAUUCUCCUUCCUCCCACUUUCUCCACUUCCAAAGACAGUACUCCUUUAAAUUUGCAGUACCAGCUACAAUUUUUUGCUACUAAUUAAUCAUAUAAUAUGGAAACAAGUAAAGAUGUCUUUGUUGUGAUGCCAUUAUGCUAACUUUUUCAA